rnacentral:lncRNA from 1 species
UGACCGGUAUGAUAAUGGGCGGUGCGUCUCCUCUUGAAGCUAUCCAGCUACAGAUAGUUGUGAUGAACAUGAUGGUUGGAGCAGCAACCGUUAGUAGCAUCAUGUGUACCUAUCUUUGUUGGCCAUCUUUCUUCACUAAAGCAUACCAGUUACAAACUCGUGUCUUCUCAAGUUGAAACUAUUAAUUAUUAUCCAUUUACUUUCAACAGUCUUAAAAUCAUAACAUUGUUUUUGUAAACUAUAUACAUUAACAGAAACAGAUUAUUUAACAAAAAAAAAUGUAGAAUGGGGAGAUUAAAUACAACUUUUAAUUAAUUGAUUAGGUAUCAUAUAACGAAGAAAUACAAAUAUUUAGCUUUAAAAAAAUAAAAUAAAACACGACAAUGUUUUUAUGAUUUUCAGACAACAAGACCAAUCAAGAAAAAAAAAACAAACUGUUUCAUCACCUCCGUUUGUUCUUACUUCCAAUCAACAGCGUGAAGUAAAACAAAACCCUAAAGAAGAACCCCCACGCAACCGUGAUCCACAAGCAAUUCCACUUACUAAUCUCCGUAACCCCCUGCUGCUUCAAAAUAUCAAUCCCCGUCGUCACACACGUCUCCGCCGUCACAUUAAUCCCCAAAACACCGCUCAUACUCUUCAACAAACUCAGCUUCACAGCGUUCGGAAACUGCCCCAGCGGCGAGUUAUCGAAUAUCUGAAUCCCUCGGACAAAACACUUGGUCGUAUCUUCAAACUCGUUCUGCAAAACGCCUUCGUAAGGGUACUUCACUAAGGAGAGGUAAUGAAACCAGAUCCAGUAGAGAGGGAUACGAUCGCGAGAGAUGAAGAAUCCGGAGAAGAGGAGGAAGUAAGCGAGGAUGGCUACAACAACAGUGAAUCCAAGCAUCACGUUCGAAACGACGCCGGAUAGGAACGUCACGAAGGAGCUUCCGGCCCAGAAGGAAGCCAAGAUGGUGAGGAAGAAGAAGAGGAAGCCGCUGGCGCCUCCGGCUAGACCGACGGCGAAGAAAGUGGUGGCUGCGAAGCACGCGGCGAGGAAUAUGAGAGAAGGGAUCGAGAUAAUGGACUGUGAGAGGACGUAGGAGGAUCUGCGGUACGAAAAAAUAAAUUAAGGAUCCUAAACAUGAGCUGAUGGAAUAAAGAUGAGAGGAAAGUGUCUACUCUUUCUAACUUGUUGUCCACUAUAUUAUUCCCUCCUCCACCACUACCACCUUCCUACAAACACGACAAAAGGAAAAAAAAUAAAGCGAGACACAAAGAGAGAAAGAGACAUGGAUCUCGAUUGGGUAUCAGCUUUUUUCAAGAACAACGAAUGGCUGAUAGUGUAUCUCAAAGGCAUGGUGAAGCCCGCGGCGGCUCUCGCGGUUGUGCUUCUAGCCGUGGCUCUCUCCUACUCGCAGAAACUCUCUUUGGAAGGAGACAUGAUAUACUCUGUUUUACGAUCGUUUCUUCAGCUAUCUGUUAUUGGGUUCGUUCUUCAGUUCAUCUUUAACCAAGAAAACGCCGGCUGGAUCAUCCUCGCUUACCUCUUCAUGGUAAUACAGUAACACUUCAAAGUUCAAAAUUCAAAAAUGAUAAAUUAUAUUUAACUUAAAAUUGUUUUUUUUAAUUCUGGUCAGGUCUCUGUUGCCGGUUACACCGCCGGACAACGUGCAAAGCACGUGCCACGUGGAAAGUACGUGGCCGGAGUAUCUAUCCUCGCCGGAACUUCUAUCACAAUGUUCCUGCUCAUCGUCCUCAACGUCUUUCCUUUCACUCCUAGGUAUAUCAUCCCUGUGGCCGGGAUGAUGGUCGGAAACGCCAUGACGGUCACCGGAGUUACCAUGAAGCAGCUACGAGAUGACAUCAAGAUGCAACUAAACCUGGUUAAACUUCUUUACAUCAAUGAUUUUGUACUUAACCGAACCAAGUUCCCGGUUUAAACCUGGUUAAACUUAUUCUUUUAGAACAAUGAUUUUACACAGCUUAACCGAACCAAGUUUCCGGUUUAAUUGCCAUAGGUGGAGACAGCAUUGGCACUAGGAGCGACGCCAAGACAAGCGACGUUACAACAGGUGAAAAGAGCUUUGGUGAUAUCUCUAUCUCCGGUUUUGGAUAGCUGCAAAACAGUUGGAUUGAUCUCUCUACCAGGGGCUAUGACCGGUAUGAUAAUGGGCGGUGCGUCUCCUCUUGAAGCUAUCCAGCUACAGAUAGUUGUGAUGAACAUGAUGGUUGGAGCAGCAACCGUUAGUAGCAUCAUGUGUACCUAUCUUUGUUGGCCAUCUUUCUUCACUAAAGCAUACCAGUUACAAACUCGUGUCUUCUCAAGUUGAAACUAUUAAUUAUUAUCCAUUUACUUUCAACAGUCUUAAAAUCAUA